UCUCUUUAUUUAUUUUUUUUUCUAAGUUUUAUGAUUCCCAACAGAUUUGUACCUUUCAACUAAAAUUAAUUAACACUACAAGCUGUCUAAAAUAAUAAUUAUUAAAAAUAUUUCCGAAAUUGAUUCUGGGCAUUAAUUUAAGACAAGAUUAAGAUUAUUAAGAGACGCACUUUAGAAUCCUAAUGUGAAGUAAUAAAAACUUUUCAUGUAUUAAUUUGGUAAGUUUUGAGAGUGAUUUUAGUUCAUAAAAUAGCAAUGGUUUAAAAGAUUUCUGCUAAUGUAGCUUAAAUAUAUUUUGUAUUAUUUUUUGCAGGAAAGUCGUGAAGGAAGAGAAAAGUUUGUUAAGAAAAAUAAGAAAAAUCCUAGUGCUGGUAAAACUCAAAAGGAGCAUAACAAGCGGAAAGCAUUUAUGAUGAUAAAACACAAAGUCAGGUCCAAAACAAAACGAUCUUUUAAAGAUAAACAGAUUUCCUUGAGGAAUGCAUUGUUAAAACGAAGAAAGAAUAAAUAGGCUGUAAUAGUUUUGUAAACCUCCUUUGUAAAUAAAAUUAUUGUAUAUA